GAAUUAAUAUAAAAAUAAUUUUAUAUACAAUAUCCUUUUAACCACCCACACACUCUUAUCAUUUUCCUAUUUUCUCUCUCAUCGAUCGUCUCUCGUCUCUCUUCCUUUCUCUAUCAUCGUCGAAAAUUGUUUCAAUGUCGACUCCAAUGAGCUCGCCUCCAGCAUCCAUGCCAAUCAUCUCACCACUGUCGAUUGCUCUAGUCCAGUAUCCACCAUCUCUAGCUCCUGAGGCAUCAAUGCCACCAAAUCCGACUUCUGCGCACCCGAGUAAGACUACGGCUAAGGGUCUGUCUCACGGCAAGAAGCAUACUUCACCUUCAUACGCUUCGACGAGAUUGAUGAGCCCACCCGCACCUCCGACGGAUGCCCCCCAAACCUAGGCCGAUUCCAUAGAGCCAGUGGACUAUUACUCGAUUUCACCGAGAGAGUCAUACAAGUGCAAUAGCAUUUAUUGUCGAGCCUCCAAGUGGGACUUUAGUUCACUCCGAUAAUUUCCCACACAGCUAGGGUUUUUUCCACACCUCUACCCAAAAUUCCUAACCAUUCUACAAAUCUUAGUUUCUAAGUAAUUUUUCUGAAAUUUUUUGUUCCUGUUAUUGUAUAUUCAUAUAUAAAUUUCUAUCCUCCUUAAGAAAAUUAAUCAGAUUUUAGAAUGUUACCAACUAAAUUUUUAAUUGAAUGUUGUCAGCAGUACGUUAAAAUGGCUACUGUUUCUUUUUUCUUCUUCUUUUUGGUUAUUGAUAGGUUUGCUUUAAUGAAAUUAUGUUGCUUUUUGUAUCUUACUUAAAAAAUGAUUUACAAGAGCUUCGAGUAAUUUUUGGAUCUGAUAGAAUGAAAGUGAAAAAUAGGGAAAUUUAUUCAUUAAUAUUUUUGUGUUUUCGGGUUUAUCUGAAAGUGAAGUGGGGAA
rnacentral:lncRNA from 1 species